AGGUUGUGAGAGCUUGCUUUCGCAACCUAGUGGCGCACGGGUGAGUAACGCGUGGGUAACCUGCCAUAAAGUCUGGGAUAACACUGGGAAACCAGUGCUAAUACCGGUUAACCCCGAAUAUCGUAUGGUUUUCGGGUGAAAGCUGCCCUCUACUUGUAAGGUAGCGCUUUUUGAGGGGCCCGCGUCCUAUUAGUUAGUUGGUAGGGUAAUGGCCUACCAAGACAGAGAUGGGUAGCCGGCUUGAGAGAGUGAUCGGCCACACUGGAACUGAGACACGGUCCAGACUCC
rnacentral:rRNA from 1 species